GGGUCGAUGCCCGAGCGGUUAAUGGGGACGGACUGUAAAUUCGUAGACAUAUUGCCAACGAAUUUACAGUCCGUCCCCAUUAACCGCUCGGGCAUCGACCCA
rfam:Gossypium arboreum cultivar AKA8401 contig_1570_9, whole genome shotgun sequence.